GAUGAACGCUGGCGGCGUGCCUAAUACAUGCAAGUAGAACGCUGAAGGAGGAGCUUGCUCUUCUGGAUGAGUUGCGAACGGGUGAGUAACGCGUAGGUAACCUGCCUGGUAGCGGGGGAUAACUCUUGGAAACGCUAGCUAAUACCGCAUGACAACAGUUAUUGCAUGAUAACUGUUUAAAAGGGGCAACUGCUCCACUACUAGAUGAUGCUUCGUUGUAUUAUCUAGUUGGUGAGGUAACGGCUUAACAAGGCGACGAUACAUCGCCGGCCUCGGAGGGUGGAUGGCCAACACGGGACUGGGACCCGGCCCAGACCUCUACGGGGGGCAGCAGUAGGGAAACUUCGGCAAUGGGCGGAAGUCUGACCGAGCAACGCCGCGUGAGGGAAGAAGGUUUUCGGAUCGUAAAGCUCUGUUGUAAGGGAAGAACGAGUGUGAGAGUGGAAAGUUCACACUGUGACGGUAUCUUACCAGAAAGGGACGGCUAACUACGUG
rnacentral:rRNA from 1 species